rnacentral:rRNA from 1 species
UACGUAGGGUGCAAGCGUUAAUCGGAAUUACUGGGCGUAAAGCGUGCGCAGGCGGUUAUGUAAGACAGAUGUGAAAUCCCCGGGCUCAACCUGGGAACUGCAUUUGUGACUGCAUAGCUAGAGUACGGUAGAGGGGGAUGGAAUUCCGCGUGUAGCAGUGAAAUGCGUAGAUAUCUGGAGGAAUACCGGUGGCGAAGGCGGCAUCCUGGACCGGCAUUGACGCUGAGGAGCGAAAGCCAGGGGAGCAAACGGG